CCUACGGGAGGCAGCAGUGGGGAAUAUUGCGCAAUGGGCUAAAGCCUGACGCAGCGACGCCGCGUGAGGGAUGAAGGUCUUCUGAUCGUAAACCUCUGUCAGCAGGGAAGAACGGUCACUGUGCUAAUCAGCAGUGAAUUGACGGUACCUGCAAAGCAUGCACCGGCUAACUCCGUGCCAGCAGCCGCGGUAAUACGGAGGAUGCGAGCGUUAUCCGGAUUUAUUGGGUUUAAAGGGUGCGCAGGCGGGCUGUUAAGCCGGCGGUAAAAAUUCAGGGCUCAACCCUGUCGAGCCGUCGAAACUGGCAGUCUUGAGUGGGCGAGAAGUAUGCGGAAUGCGUGGUGUAGCGGUGAAAUGCAUAGAUAUCACGCAGAACGCCGAUUGCGAAGGCAGCAUACCGGCGCCCAACUGACGCUGAGGCACGAAAGCGUGGGGAUCGAACAGGAUUAGAUACCCGAGUAGUC
rnacentral:rRNA from 1 species